rnacentral:rRNA from 1 species
CUACGGGUUGUAAACUGCUUUUAUACAGGAAGAAACACUCCUACGUGUAAGRAACUUGACGGUACUGUAAGAAUAAGGAUCGGCUAACUCCGUGCCAGCAGCCGCGGUAAUACGGAGGAUCCAAGCGUUAUCCGGAAUCAUUGGGUUUAAAGGGUCCGCAGGCGUUUUUUAAGUCAGAGGUGAAAUCCUACAGCUUAACUGAUAGAACUGCCUUUGAUACUGAAAAACUUGAGUUAUUGUGAAGUGAGUUAGAAUGUGUAGUGUAGCGGUGAAAUGCAUAGAUAUCUACACAGAAUACCGAUUGCGAAGGCAGAUCUACUACAAUAUACUGACGCUCAUGGACGAAAGCGUGGGGAGCGAACAGGAUUAGAUACCCUGGUAGUCCACGCCGUAAACGAUGGAUACUAGCUGUUCGUCUAUCAUUGUCUAGAUGAAGUGGCUAUGCGAAAGUU